rnacentral:misc_RNA from 1 species
GCGGAAGGAUCAUUAAUGAGUUUUGAAGUGGGUUUGAUGCUGGCCUUACCAGGCAUGUGCUCGCCCUACUCUCAUCCACUCACACCUGUGCACCUAAAAGCGUUAGAAGAUUCAUCCCCUUGACCUUCAGGGGUGCGAUCCGAGGAAACUUGGUAUCGUUGGGUUGAGUUCUCUGCGUUUUACUCUUCUAUAAACCCUUGUAUGUUAUAGAAUGUCUAAUGGCCUACGGGCUUUAAUGAAAUACAACUUUCAACAACGGAUCUCUUGGCUCUCGCA